rnacentral:rRNA from 1 species
UACGUAGGGCGCGAGCGUUGUCCGGAAUUAUUGGGCGUAAAGAGCUCGUAGGCGGCCUGUUGCGUCCGCUGUGAAAUCCCGGGGCUCAGCCCCGGGCUUGCAGUGGAUACGGGCUGGCUAGAGGCAGGCAGGGGAGAACGGAAUUCCCGGUGUAGUGGUGAAAUGCGUAGAGAUCGGGAGGAACACCCGUGGCGAAGGCGGCUCACUGGGCUGGCCUUGACGCUGAGGCGCGAAGGCGUGGGGAGCGAACGGG